rnacentral:rRNA from 1 species
CCUAACACAUGCAAGUCGAACGGUAACAGGAAACAGCUUGCUGUUUCGCUGACGAGUGGUGGACGGGUGAGUAAUGUCUGGGAAACUGCCUGAUGGAGGGGGAUAACUACUGGAAACGGUAGCUAAUACCGCAUAACGUCGCAAGACCAAAGAGGGGGACCCUCGGGCCUCUUGCCAUCGGAUGUGCCCAGAUGGGAUUAGCUUGUUGGUGGGGUAACGGCUCACCAAGGCGACGAUCCCUAGCUGGUCUGAGAGGAUGACCAGCCACACUGGAACUGAGACACGGUCCAGACUCCUACGGGAGGCAGCAGUGGGGAAUAUUGCAC